rnacentral:misc_RNA from 1 species
GAUGAAGAACGUAGCGAAAUGCGAUAAGUAAUCUGAAUUGCAGAAUUCAGUGAAUCAUCGAAUCUUUGAACGCACAUUGCGCCCGCCAGUAUUCUGGCGGGCAUGCCUGUCUGAGCGUCAUUUCAACCCUCAAGCAACUUCUGCUUGGUGUUGGGGAUCGGCCGUUAAACGCCGCCCCCGAAAUCUAUUGGCGAUCUCGCUGUAGCUUCCUAUGCGUAGUAGUAACAUCUCGCAUCUGGAGAGCGGCGCGGUCAUGCCGUAAAACACCCAACUUCUCAGGUUGACCUCAGAUCAGGUAGGAAUACCCGCUGAACUUAAGCAUAUCAAUAAGCGGAGGA